UACGGAGGGUGCAAGCGUUAUCCGGAUUCACUGGGUUUAAAGGGUGCGUAGGAGGGCAGGUAAGUCAGUGGUGAAAUCUCCGGGCUUAACCCGGAAACUGCCGUUGAUACUAUUUGUCUUGAAUACCGUGGAGGUGAGCGGAAUAUGUCAUGUAGCGGUGAAAUGCUUAGAUAUGACAUAGAACACCAAUUGCGAAGGCAGCUCACUACACGGCCAUUGACUCUGAGGCACGAAAGCGUGGGGAUCAAACAGG
rnacentral:rRNA from 1 species